rnacentral:rRNA from 1 species
UUGCCCUAGUAACGGCGAGUGAAGCGGCAACAGCUCAAAUUUGAAAGCUAGCCUUCGGGUUCGCAUUGUAAUUUGUAGAGGAUGAUUUGGGGAAGCCGCCUGUCUAAGUUCCUUGGAACAGGACGUCAUAGAGGGUGAGAAUCCCGUAUGUGACAGGAAAUGGCACCCUAUGUAAAUCUCCUUCGACGAGUCGAGUUGUUUGGGAAUGCAGCUCUAAAUGGGAGGUAAAUUUCUUCUAAAGCUAAAUAUUGGCGAGAGACCGAUAGCGCACAAGUAGAGUGAUCGAAAGAUGAAAAGCACUUUGGAAAGAGAGUUAAAAAGCACGUGAAAUUGUUGAAAGGGAAGCGCUUGCAAUCAGACUUGUUUAAACUGUUCGGCCGGUCUUCUGACCGGUUUACUCAGUUUGGACAGGCCAGCAUCAGUUUCGGCGGCCGGAUAAAGGCUCUGGGAAUGUGGCCUCCACUUCGGUGGAGGUGUUAUAGCCCAGGGUGUAAUACGGCCAGCCGGGACUGAGGUCCGCGCUUCGGCUAGGAUGCUGGCGUAAUGG